rnacentral:rRNA from 1 species
GGAGCAGCCCAGAGCCUGAAUCAGUGUGUGUGUUAGUGGAAGCGUCUGGAAAGGCGUGCGAUACAGGGUGACAGCCCCGUACACAAAAAUGCACAUACUGUGAGCUCGAUGAGUAGGGCGGGACACGUGGUAUCCUGUCUGAAUAUGGGGGGACCAUCCUCCAAGGCUAAAUACUCCUGACUGACCGAUAGUGAACCAGUACCGUGAGGGAAAGGCGAAAAGAACCCCGGCGAGGGGAGUGAAAAAGAACCUGAAACCGUGUACGUACAAGCAGUGGGAGCACGCUUAGGCGUGUGACUGCGUACCUUUUGUAUAAUGGGUCAGCGACUUAUAUUCUGUAGCAAGGUUAACCGAAUAGGGGAGCCGAAGGGAAACCGAGUCUUAACUGGGCGUUAAGUUGCAGGGUAUAGACCCGAAACCCGGUGAUCUAGCCAUGGGCAGGUUGAAGGUUGGGUAACACUAACUGGAGGACCGAACCGACUAAUGUUGAAAAAUUAGCGGAUGACUUGUGGCUGGGGGUGAAAGGCCAAUCAAACCGGGAGAUAGCUGGUUCUCCCCGAAAGCUAUUUAGGUAGCGCCUCGUGAAUUCAUCUCCGGGGGUAGAGCACUGUUUCGGCAAGGGGGUCAUCCCGACUUACCAACCCGAUGCAAACUGCGAAUACCGGAGAAUGUUAUCACGGGAGACACACGGCGGGUGCUAACGUCCGUCGUGAAGAGGGAAACAACCCAGACCGCCAGCUAAGGUCCCAAAGUCAUGGUUAAGUGGGAAACGAUGUGGGAAGGCCCAGACAGCCAGGAUGUUGGCUUAGAAGCAGCCAUCAUUUAAAGAAAGCGUAAUAGCUCACUGGUCGAGUCGGCCUGCGCGGAAGAUGUAACGGGGCUAAACCAUGCACCGAAGCUGCGGCAGCGACGCUUAUGCGUUGUUGGGUAGGGGAGCGUUCUGUAAGCCUG